rnacentral:rRNA from 1 species
GUGGGGAAUAUUGCACAAUGGGGGAAACCCUGAUGCAGCAACGCCGCGUGAGUGAUGACGGCCUUCGGGUUGUAAAGCUCUGUCUUCAGGGACGAUAAUGACGGUACCUGAGGAGGAAGCCACGGCUAACUACGUGCCAGCAGCCGCGGUAAUACGUAGGUGGCAAGCGUUGUCCGGAUUUACUGGGCGUAAAGGGAGCGUAGGCGGACUUUUAAGUGAGAUGUGAAAUACCCGGGCUCAACCUGGGUGCUGCAUUUCAAACUGGAAGUCUAGAGUGCAGGAGAGGAGAGUGGAAUUCCUAGUGUAGCGGUGAAAUGCGUAGAGAUUAGGAAGAACACCAGUGGCGAAGGCGACUCUCUGGACUGUAACUGACGCUGAGGCUCGAAAGCGUGGGGAGCAAACAGG